GACGAACGCUGGCGGCGUGCUUAACACAUGCAAGUCGAACGGAAAGGCCCUGCUUUUGUGGGGUGCUCGAGUGGCGAACGGGUGAGUAACACGUGAGUAACCUGCCCUGGACUUUGGGAUAACUUCAGGAAACUGGGGCUAAUACCGGAUAGGAGCGCCUGCUGCAUGGUGGGGGUUGGAAAGUUUCGGCGGUUGGGGAUGGACUCGCGGCUUAUCAGCUUGUUGGUGGGGUAGUGGCUUACCAAGGCUUUGACGGGUAGCCGGCCUGAGAGGGUGACCGGCCACAUUGGGACUGAGAUACGGCCCAGACUCCUACGGGAGGCAGCAGUGGGGAAUAUUGCACAAUGGGCGGAAGCCUGAUGCAGCAACGCCGCGUGCGGGAUGACGGCCUUCGGGUUGUAAACCGCUUUAGCCUGUGACGAAGCGUGAGUGACGGUAAUGGGUAAAGAAGCACCGGCUAACUACGUG
rnacentral:rRNA from 1 species